GAUGAACGCUGGCGGCGUGCCUAAUACAUGCAAGUCGAGCGAACAGACGAGGAGCUUGCUCCUCUGACGUUAGCGGCGGACGGGUGAGUAACACGUGGAUAACCUACCUAUAAGACUGGGAUAACUUCGGGAAACCGGAGCUAAUACCGGAUAAUAUAUUGAACCGCAUGGUUCAAUAGUGAAAGACGGUUUUGCUGUCACUUAUAGAUGGAUCCGCGCCGAAUUAGCUAGUUGGUAAGGUAACGGCUUACCAAGGCAACGAUGCGUAGCCGACCUGAGAGGGUGAUCGGCCAAACUGGAACUGAGACACGGUCCAGACUCCUACGGGAGGAAGCAGUAGGGAAUCUUCCGCAAUGGGCGAAAGCCUGACGGAGCAACGCCGCGUGAGUGAUGAAGGUCUUCGGAUCGUAAAACUCUGUUAUUAGGGAAGAACAAAUGUGUAAGUAACUAUGCACGUCUUGACGGUACCUAAUCAGAAAGCCACGGCUAACUACGUG
rnacentral:rRNA from 1 species